UGCCUGAGGCACAUGGCCCGGAGGAAAGAGGUUCCCGGAAUCAGUUGCAUUGGGAUUAAACACCUGCCUCUAUGCCCCUGCUGAGCAUCUGUAUCACCUCAGUGCACAUCAAAUAGCUGCCACUAGUCGGUGCUGCGGUCAACUUCAGAAGUUUGCAAGACAGCUGACAACCCAGGAACCCAAAAUUACCCCUGAAAUCCCCCUCUCUCAUUAUGCAUUUCCUACUGCGAAGGGUGAGGAUGCUAUUUCUUUCACGGAGGAACUGCUCGCUGGCCUGCCUUGAGCAGAGCAUCACUGCAUCAGGUUCUACGAUGUGAGAUCUUUCUCUGCCAGGCAGAGGUUCAGGCUGUGAAGCCUGAGGACCCAGCACAGCCCAGAGCCUCUACUGCUAUGCACGCGCACAGCUCCUUCUGCAGAAAGUCUAACAUACGUGCAUUCACCAGUGAAGUUGUCCUGGCUAAAACACCUGGCACCAGGGUCUACCUGGGCAUCAGCCGUCAUUCCGUCAACUCCCCUAGACUCCAGUACAGUGCCCCUGCCAGCACCGCUGCCCGUCCCCCACAGUUCUAUCAGUUCUGUCUCCAGAUCCAGUUACAUCAACACCACCAGGACGUACGGUUCUGUCAUGGAUUUGCUGGAACAGUCUCGGACCAAGAAAGUUCCAUCCUGAAGCAAAAGGAGAACUAGUCAUCCUCUAAGGGAGACCACAAGAUGCCUGCAUCUGUUUUGGGCAGAUCUGUUAUUGAUUUAAUUUAAUUCAUUCUGAAAUGGAAUCUCCUUAUUUCAAGACUGACUUUGAACUUGUGAUCCUCCUGUCUCAGCUCUCCAGAGAUUUGGGAUUACAUCAUUGUAUUUUCAGUGGCCCUGCCCUACCCGCCACCACUGAAGUAAUCGCCUUUGUGGACCUGCAAAGGCCUCUGGGAGAGAUGCUAACUGAGUUGAGCCCUGAAGAGUGGUGAGAAGAAGAGUGUAUUUCGGGCAAGCGGAGCACCAUGUGCCAUGGAUCAGAGGCAAGAAAAUGUGAUUUGAUUGGCCACAGUCUAGAAGUAGUUCUGUGUGCAUGGAAGGCAGAGUUUGGACAGUCUCAGUGUCAUUAGGUCAGUUGUAGUGCUCAGGGCAAAAGUGAUGGUGCUGGUCUACUUUACAAGGUGGGGAAGUGAGGGAAAAAUGGAGACACAAGUCUUGUUUGGAACUUGGGAAGCUGGAGAUGGAUUGUAUGGGAAGUGCUUCCACUGACUGAAGUGGAAGGUUUGCGGGAGGACAGUGGUGUCAGUUUUGCAAAGAACGUAAAUGUGAGGGCAGUUUUCAAGACGACCAGUUUGCAAUGCCUGUGAUCUCCCUAAGGACCUCUGCCCACUGUUUAAAUGGAAAUAGCAAUCUGGAGCCAAAAACGGUAGUUUGAGGAGAAAAUGGAAACAGGCAUUAUGAAUAUGGAGGUGGUGCUGGACACUGAGGGGAACGAGAGAAGAGGACCUCGGGACCUCCAAGGAGCACCAGCAUUCGGAGUGGGAAAUGAGUCUGAAGAGGGGACUUAAAGGAAGCAGCAUGAUAACUAUAGAUUCCCCUGAUGUUGCAAGAGCUUGUACAGUGAACUUCUCAACCCUCUACCCACAUUCUUCUGAUCUCAGAGUCAUGCAACCUGUCAUUAAAAUGAAGCUCACACCUUGGACUCUGUAUUCCUGUGCACAAAGGUGAGUUUGUGCCUAUGCUGUGUCUCUUUGAAGGGACCAUGCUUUUUCAGAUCUACAAAGGUUUCUUUUGCUUCCCAGUCAUUAGAGUAUGCAUUUUUGCAGCUGAAAUGCCUUGCAUGGAUGGGGCAGCAGCACUGCAGGUUACACAGGGAAGUCCAAAGUUAGUAAAAGGGUUUGGGGUGUCUUCAGUGUGAGGUACUUUAUUUAAAUUACAUUUUGACUGAACCCCAAUCCUUGUGACAUUGCAUUUGUUGAAACGUAAAGGAGCUACUGUGGCACAGUGAAUUGUAUUUCUGUGUUUCCCUCAGUAAAGGGAGGAUCGUAACACUGCCUUCGUCACAGAGCACUGUGGGAAUAAAUGCAUCAGUGCAGACAGCAGGCUUUAUGCCAGGAUGCUGUGCAGCCAGAACACGGAAUGUGUUCUCCACUCAUUAUUCAGGAUGAUGACAUUUGGCCACUGUAUUAAAUCAGCUGCGAUAUUAUUCCUUUUUAAAUUUCCUUUCACAUGAGGUCAAAGAUAGGGUCUCUUCAUGGCAACCAGUGCCUCCUAAAGAUCAAUCUAAUCUUGGUGUAUUUGCAGUGAGAAAUGUCCCCAGAUUAAAAGCUAUGGCCUAAAGCUUCCAAUGUUGCAGCUAUUUAUAAAUAAAUUUACUUAAGUGAGAAACAAUUGGGGGAGGCUAAACAAACCUCAAGAACACCAAAAUUGUAGCAGUCAUGACAGUGUGUAGAUGGUUGAGCCCAUAGGACUAGCAUUCUCCACACUUUCAAGCUUUCUUCUAUUUCUGGGUGUUGAUGAGUUAUCUAAAAUGACAUUUUCCUUAACUGAAUUGCUUUGACUCCCCAAUUAUUUAAUGAAGCCAAUAUGCAGCUUUAAUUAAGGACAAGAAUUGGGGGCCCGUGGAGACAAAUGAGUCUGAAAGACAACGGGUGGGCCACAGCCGCUGUCCAGGGGGAGCUGGCCAUUGUCCAGGGCUCUAGCUGCUGCAGCCACUGAUGUCCUUGAUUGCCAGAUGGAAACCACAGCACCUGCUUGGGGUGAGACUCAUACACUAUGCUCUGCAAAGCAGUGGCUAGCAGGGCGCACCUGUGUGUGCGUUCCGUGGCUGCUGCAGAAGCUCAGAUUGCUGAGGCUCUAUUUUCACCACCUGCAUGGCUAUUUACAAGUGACCCGGUCAUCGUGGUCUGACCACUCAAGUGCUCCCUGCUAACAAUGCCUUUGAAAGCACAACUCUCUUCCUGAAGCAAAGCCUGCCCAUUCUUCUACUCCCAGUGUCUCCUGGAGGGUUUUACAAACCCUGACAGUCACAUGCCAGCCUUGUGACUUUGACUAAGUUACCUAACCUCUCUGAGUUACCUUAUCUUGAUGCAUUACCUACCUCACCCAAGUGAUCUUAGCGGCCCAAAGGUAGGGAAAUGAUAUUUACUGAGUUCCUGUAGGCCUUCAGCUGGGCUGGGCACAUUGUCUGCAAAGCCUUAGAUAAACCACAUUUCACAGAGCUCUGGCAGGGAGUUCCUAAGAUGAAAGGUGUUGACACUUUGCAGUGUAAAGGAGCAGCCCAAUUCCCAACACACCCCAAAAUGGUUUACAGAUUGUGAACUAGAACUCCAGGGACGCUGAGAUAUAAAACCCCAGUCCAAAGAGACCAACAAUCAAAAUUCCAGAAAUUCAAUACAAGAACAGAAUAUUAAAAGCUGUAAGAGACAAGAAACAGACCACUUACAAGGGAACACCCAUCAGAAUUACAGCAGAUUUCUCGGCACAAACCAUCAAAUCACGAAGAGCGUGGGGGGAAAUAAUUCAAGCUUUGAAAGAUAAUAAUCUCCAGCCAAGAUUGAGAUAUCCUGCACAACUGUCCCUGGAAAUUGAUGGAAAAACAAGGUGCUUCCAAGAUAAAGAGGAACUGGGGGAAUUUGCAACCACCAAUUCAACUCUACAGAAAGUAUUGCAGGAUAUUCUAAAAAAAGAAAAAUACAAAGAACCUAGAAAUAGUGGCAGGGAGGCCACAACGAAUGGAGCAGAGAACAAAAUGAAGAAGACAAACUGACAGUUACUGACAGAAAAAGAGCUCAACAGAAAUGAGGCAGAGAAGAUUGGAUGAUAGGAACAGCUAUUUUGGAGAAAAUGACAUCUUAAUAGGUAAUACUGAUUUAGUAUCAUCUUGUUUUGAAGUCUCAUCUAGCUUUUGUCCUGUCUCCAAUGGUCUAAAUAGGCUGUAUCUUAUUGGAUUUUAUUAUGUGUGAUAGUAUAAGCAAAAACCUUUUAAAGACAAGGAGAUUACACAGAAACCAUUGUUCAUUUUCUGUUAGUCGAUUCUAAAUACUCUGUAAUGCUGUCAUUCUCUUGAAUGGUUUUACAUUGUUGUUUUGAUAUACUUAAUGCUACAGUAUACGAAGUUGUACUAAAGGAUUUCAAAGAAAGAGACAAUAUGGUAACUACUUUUAGGUCAGGGUUAUCUGGUGGUGAAACACUAUUCUGCUUAAAUGGUUAUGUUUUGAUCUGCGCUGUUUCGUUGUUAUGCCCUCUUUUGUCUCAAUCUCCACUCCAUUAUUUACUUUUUUAUCUUUAUCCUUUUAAUUAAAGGAAAAACAAUAGCAGGAUAUAUUAUAGUAACCCACUUUGACUUUUCAUUACCUUGAUUUAAAGCCCUGUAUUACUCUCACCAUCUGGUUUUUAACUGAUGUUCCCCUAUUCUGUUUUGCUGGAUAGUAUCAGGUUCGAAAGUUUAGGCAUCAGCUGUGAAGAUAAUGAGAUUCAUUAUGACGCCCAUUCUUUUGACUUUUAUCUACUUUUGAAGACCUACAAUGUCUCCAAUGUUUUGGUCUUGUCGGUUUUAUUCUUUACUGUUUUGUUCAAUUGUAUUAUAACUAACGAUAUAGGCAAUUCUAUUAGAGAUAGCGGGAGGCAUUAUGGUAACCAUUGUUGAUCACCUUGUAUUAUGUUUUUACAUUAUCUAUUAUGUCCACCCUUUUGACUUGACCGAUUCUGUUCUGUUAUGGCACAUUUGGUUUUACUCUCUUCCAAAAAAGUAAUAAGAACCGUGGGAGCAAUGAAACCCAAAAUGUGUAACAGUCAUGGUACAAAAGAGAGGAAAAGAAAGUGCUCCAAACUAUAUAACUGCAUGUAUAUUUAAGCGUAUAAGAUAGAAAAUGAUAUCACAGAGUUUUAUUGGAUCAAUGAACAGAACUGUUUGCAGUAUCAUUGAUGGAAUGUCCACUUUACAAGCUUUAAUUUUGUGACUUGAACAAUUAUUUCUAAGAUGACAAUAUGUAAUCCAUUAACUAGUGAUUUCCUACUGUUCAUUUUUUUUCUGUAAAUCUGUAUAACUUGUACCCUUUCCCUGCUUUUUUUUUCUUUUCUCCUU